UAUUUCUUAAGAAAGAAAGAAGAAAUAUCCUAUUUUUCUAAUAGCCCUCGACCUUGGAAAACUCUUGAAGACACGCUCAACCUUAUGUCCUUGCCCAGUUUCUGGACGCAUGCGAGGGACCAAAUUCUUUUCUUCUACGCAUGCCAGAGACCAAAUUCUUUUCUUCUACGCGAGCAUAAGCCUCUUCUUUGUAUUGUCCCGCCGCCCUCCAUCAGGAUAUUUUCUCAGGCCCUUGUCUGUAUAUAACGCUCAUCGGCCUGAUCCAUUUUCUGAAAAAAAUCUCAUUCUCUUUCUUAUCCAUCCAUCGCUCAGCAGGAGCUUAUUUCUUACACGUCUCCAGCGUUCACUCAGGCGUCUUAGCAUUCUUUUCUCUGCUCCUCUCGGCACUCGUCUCAGCACUUCUUCCUCAGGCCGCAACCCUUCUCUGCCAUUUGUGCUUGGCUCCCAGAAGCUGCCGAGCUAGACUCCUCGUCGUGCGCUGUUGUGCUGCUCCAUGUCCGACCGUUCGUCUCUAGCUCGCCAUGGCUGCUCCAGAUCCUGCUCGCGAGUUUCCCAGCGCCGUCAGCUUGCCGGCAUCCAGCUCGCCUGUAUCAUGGCCGUCGCGCCGUCUUUACUCGUUGGCCGUGCGUUGCCGCGCACACGCGCCCGACACCCCGGUUCCUCUGUACGCCUUGGUUGCGCGCGCCGAACUGCGUCCUUCGCAGCUCGCUGGCUUUAGCUGCAGGACACCACCAGCCGUGCCUUCGUAUCCUGUGUCCUCGACUCGUCCACAGUGUCACUCGCGAGGUGCUCGAGGUAAUGGCAGAAUUGAAAAUCGUAGCUGUGCUCAUGGCCUUCAAGACAUAUUAAGUUAUUGGUGAGUUGUCGUCGCUCUCGCUUUUCGUUUUAAUAUUUCUCGUCAGUUUGGUAUACUUGUGCUAUUAACGUGGGCCGGUGACGUGCGCGUAAAUCGCAGUAGUGAAUUAGUCCCAGAAUAAAAUUUGAUCGGAUAGAAUAAUGAAGUCUAGUACGUUGCUCGUCACAUAUUUGGUGUUAUGCGCGGACCGGAAAGCGUCGUCGAUUUCGUGGUUUCAAGUCGGAAUUAAUGAGGGUAAGUUGAUUCAUUAUUCCAGUCAACUAGGUAUAUAAAUAGAUUAAAUAUAAUUGUUGGUCGCGAUAAUUGUUAUUAAUUUAGCAUAUGUAUAUUGUGAUGUUCGAUUUAGAUAAAUCGGUAAAUCAAGUUAAUUAAGAUACACAGUUUAAAGAGUUAAUUAGAUUGUUUCUAUAAUUAUUUUAAGUUGUUGGCAUUUAAUAAUAGCGAGUCUAGGUUUUACUAGACCUCUGUAAUAUAUUUUACUAAAAAUGAUAAUGUGUGUUUAUAAUUUAUUCUUGCUUGAUAAUAAAAUUAGAUGUGAUUGAACAGAAGAAAUGUGCGUGAUGUAAUUAGUAUGUAUAGUUUAUUAUUUUGUGAUUAUUGCGCGUAGUCGUAUGUCGAUAACUAGUGUGUCCGUAUAAAAUUGUACAAUGCCUCGCCGCUAGGUGUUUAGUUCGCUAUCGCGUAGCACUAUUUAGGGUUUUUGAUAUUCCUGUUUAUAUGCAUUCAUGUGCAUCGUGCAUCUCAAUUAGGUACGAUAAUUGAUCGUGUGAUGCGGAAGACGAGCCAAGUCGACCCCAAGCGCGGACUACUCCGCAUGGAGAUGCUGAUAAACGAACCUACCUGAUCAAGUGCUAGGACAAGGAUGAUCGUCAAGUGGACGUCACCUAACAACACUAACGUAGUGUUUAUUCCAGGCAAGCCCCGGUGCAUGCAACCCCUUCCUUGUGUUUUUAAAUAAUUUUUGCACACUUUAAGUCUAGUGAAAUGUGCAUUAGGUUUAUAGGAGUUGCUUGGAAACCCUUUGAUGCAUUGCCUUCCUUGAAAUCCAUACCUUUAUAGAUACUUCUGGUGAAGUAUCAAAAUAUGAUUUACAAAAAUGCUUAGCCCUGCUCAGAUCUUGUGGAUAGAGGUUGUCUUUUGCGUUAAGGCCUUGCUCAGGGGUUAUCCUGAGGAAAGAUGGCUUCUACCUGCAAAAAUAUUUUCAUUGAGACCGUGGUGGGAUCUUACUGCAAAGUUCCCUAUAAUGCUCUUUUCAUCCUAGGGAGCACAAACACUCCUAAGGAUGGAAGUACUUAAAUCGGGACUUGGGCUAGGAACAGGUGAUGCUCCGCCCGGGUCAAUUAAGGAUUGGAUGUGUAUGUAGGCCUGAUAGAUCAAGGACUAUCUUAACUGGCCACAUGCCCUGAAAAUGGGACAGGGUAAGCUUGAACCCGGCUAUUCCAUACGUGAAAAGACAACCGCGCACUGGGCGUGGGAGAUGGUGGGAGUAGCGUGUGCCCUCCUGGCUAGAGGCUGGAUGGAGGAGUACUGUGCUCCCGGGUAGCGCGGACCGGUUCACGUUGUGGAGGAUCUGUGGGAACGGUUGACAUAUGCAAGGGUUAAGUGCUACAUAUGUCGUGUGGUUAGAGAUCCUCAGCUGAGUAAAUCGAUUCGGAUCGCCGUUAUAUCCCCGAAGAGUGGAGACUUGAUCACUGACCUGCAACCUAAGUCAGGAUGUGAACCUCAUGAAUAAAAAUGAUGUUGUAUUGAUGAGAUGGUGAAAUUAGACCAGAUGCAAAUAGAGUCUAUUAAUAUUUAAUCUGGCAUUAAAAUAUUGAAAGUAAGAACUCACUUUAGUAAGCUAUUUCUGCAAAAGUAUCUAAGUUGAUUCUUGCUAAAGCCUCUCCUUGAUUCCUAAAUCCAGCAUACCCUUGAGAGUCUUUUCUUUAGUCGGGUAAGUCUUGCUGAGUAAUUCCAUACUCAGGGUUUUAUUCCCUGUUGUUUUUCAGGUUCUAACUUUGUGCUGCUUUUGAUGGUGUUAAGUGUAGGGAUGGCAACGGGUUUGAAACCCGCGGGUAUAUGGUUUUCAAACCCGCCUCCGCGGGUUUAAUAUUAAACCCGCACCCGUACCCGUUACCCGCGGCGGGUACAAUAUGCUACCCAUACCCGCGACCCGCGGGUGCCACAAACCCGCGGGCACAUAAUUAUACACAUAUAUUUAUACAUAUAUCAUCUAUAUAUACAUAUAUUUAUACACACAUAUAACUAUACAUAUACAAAUAUGUAUAUAUAUAAUAUACACACAUAUAAAAAUUACAUAUAUACACACAUAUAUAUAUACAUACACACACACACACACACACACACACACACACACACACAUAUAUAUAUAUAUAUAUAUAUAUAUAUAUAUAUAUAUAUAUAUAUAUAUCCAUUGCGGGUACGCGGGUUUGCGGGCACGGGUAUAACAUUUUCAUACCCGCGAGAAAAAACCCGUCGGGUUAAGAAUCAAACCCGCACCCGUACCCACGGGUACAAACUCACACCCAAACCCGCACCCUAUAGGGUUUUUACCCGCGGGCACGCGGGUAAAAUGUGCCCGUUGCCAUCCCUAGUUAAGUGCCGGUGGGCUCGGCCUUCUUAUAUAAGUAUAACCCGUCUUUAUCUUCUUACUGAGGAUGGUCAUUUGAGCUAGCAUAUAUUUCAAACUUAUACUUUUGUAAUCACUCCGAUAAAAUAAUAUAAAAUUUUUGUAACUUGUAAAAUUUGGUAAUAAGAUUUCCGCUGCAAAAAUAUUGGUGUGUGUGAUUUGUGUUACUUAAUCUCGCGGUUCUGGUUGUAAGUGGUUUAUCCGGUGUCCUUGGGGCAAUCGGACGGAUCCUGUUAAGUUAUCUGGUGCACAUGCACGGCCGUCUGAGGUCUUUGAGACAAGGACAGGUGCAUGUGGGCCCGAUAACUUGGAGGUUCUGCCACAGCUGGUAUCGGAGCUGGAUUAAGUAUGUACGAUCACAUACGUAUUUUCAAAACAAAAGUUUUGGUUUUAGAACACCUAUCUUCAACUAAACACAUUGUUUGGUUUUGAAAAUCAGAUUUGAAAAACUAUAAUGCUAGCGACAUCCUCUCUUAAGCCCUAAAUUAAGGACUAUCAGGUGGCUUAGUUGAAAACCACAACCGGGUGGGUAUUGCAUACAUGUGUAUUGUUAUUUUUAAGGCCAUUCAGUUUUGAAUGGAUCGAUGCUCAGGUAAGGUGAGAUGUGAGAGCAUGACCGAACAAACGUCGGUCUAGGGAAGAGCAUAAAAAGCGCUUGAUUAUAUACAUGUUCCACAUAUGUAUAUAUGAAGGCUGCGAUGUGGAGUAUUUACUUUUCUGGGAAUUCUGUACCCCAUGGAUGUGUAUGGGUAUACAGACAUGGGAAUACUGAGAAAUGUAAUGUACUUGUAACGACGCACCUACGCUCAGGUAAGAAGGUGAGUUACCAUAAUGAGUUGCCCUAUGGUUAAAGUGUGGCAACAGCGCCUAUGCGUGGCUCGGCGCUUAAUGAUGAGCUGGCCUCCAUAUAGCAAUAUAUGGAGUAUAAACUGUGAUAAACUGUCAUGUGUGAAUUGCAUCAUGGGGAAUUGGGCUGUGAUGAAUUUUCUGCAGGUAUACUAACCUCGAAAACGUAUGUGUAGCUGACGACUAGCAAAAUACCGUGAGAGUCGUAAAUAUGCCACCGAGAUAGAACGCUAAUGCCACAUUAUGUUGGCAAAACUCGUGAGGACGUGUAGGACGAGCAUGCAUCCUGAUUGUUGCAUCAUGUUUGUCACCUAUACACCCAAGAUGCUUCUCUCAUCCUUAUUCCAGUAACCAGUGAUUGUAGAUAAUGUGGUGUAAUGUUGUAUUAUGAACUUCGAUAAAAUAGUUGUUCUCCGUUCCUUAGGUAUUAUGUUUAGAUGCUAUAUGUGUUUGCCCUUGUGCUUGAUGUGUCGAUAGAAGGUUAGUGACUUGUUUUGCCUAAACCCAAAAUUAGGCCAUGUUCUUAUUAGGUAAACUGAGACCCAAAUUUGAAUUUACCAUUAUCCCUCUACGACUAAACUCAUGUAAAUGAAUGUUUAGAUAAUUUCUUUGUUGGACAUAAAAUGUACCCAACCUUAAAUCAAGGAUCUCAAACCAUGUCUCCUUCUAGAACCAUUUCCUUGUUCAGUUGAUGCAAGUUGAGGUCUCUAUGGUAUUUGGCCUCUCCUUGUGGAUUACCAUGUUACUUUAUCGACCCAACCUAGGAAAGACAUGUCCAACCAUUUUUCUGGAAUUUGAUGUCUUUGGUUUCCCCCAUAUCUAUCGAAGGCAUUCCAACUUAAUCUUAAUAUUGUUUUCCCCUGUAUCUAGUCAGAUACUGAUCCUUGACCUUGUGAUCUCUACGAUGGGCAUAGAAAUAUGCUUGGGGCUGAAGCAACAGUCUCCCGUCGUACUCCUUUCAUCAAAUUUAGGUUAUGGCCAUGCCUUGUUCAUUUCAUCGGGCCAUGAUCUAUUUGGCUCUCUACUUGUAACCAUUCUUACAAGUGGAGUCUAUUUUUGUAUAUUGCCAUCCUUGCUCAGUCUAUUUGUGUCGCGCGAGAUUUCUUAUUGGUUACGUCUGGUAAUGGCGUUAUGACUAAAACCAAUGGUGCCGUGACGAAACCGAGGGCCUCCUAUGGAUGCACACACAUGGUUGCGCUACUUGGCAUCCGCUGGUAUCACCGUUAGUAGUCAUAAUCCAUUAUUAGACUAUAUCGAUAUGUUAUCUUUACGUAGAUUAUUCUUACCCUGCGAGAUUCAUUAUUAGUGCCAGUUCGAUAAUGGCGUCUCGAUUAAUGACUUAUGAUACCCCGGCGAAACUAAGAGCCUCCUGUGAAUGUGCACACAGGAUUCUGCUGCUUGGCGCAUGCUGGUAUCGGAGCCUCUAGUCAUGAUCCAUUGUGGAACUACACCGAUGUGUGGUCUUCCGUGGACUCCUUCUUUGAAACAGUUUCUAUGUUGUUUCUCAAGUUAUCAAGCAACAUCUAUCAUCUUUGCCGGAUCAAAUGGACAUACCACUUUCAUGUGUGGUCUUAUUUCUUUUGAUCUUGGUAGUGACUACUCAUACAAGUUCCCUUUACAUCCUUUGUGUAAAGAUGAAGCCUUAGAGCGUUUAGUGUCGAGAGACAGCUGAUUAGCUCCCAAAAUGGAGAUUGGCUUUUUCCCCUGCUGUGGAGAUGCAGGAGUUUGUUCAUUCACUCUCUUAUUCAAUCCAUUUAUUCCCAAACCAAGUCAGUGGAUAAUUCAUCUCGCAUGAAGAAACAGAUGAACAACCUGACCAAAUGAAUUUCCACCCAAGUGCAUGAUCUCCUGUUAGCCAAAGUAAACUCUCGAUCGUUGGCUUACCGAUGGUACUGAGAGGACCGACUCAAUGUCAAAAGUAGUUCAACAAGUUGGUUUUUACUAACUUGUAACUGCAUUGUGAAUAAAGUUUGAGUUUAGAGAUUGUUUUAUCGAGUUAUCUAAACUCACUUUAGUUCAACCCAUCCUAAGAAAGUACUUACGAAAAUCGAGAUUAGGUCAACUAAUAACCACCUAGCCAUUGCUCUAGUCAUGUCUCGAUCGCCUCACGUGUGCUUUUCCAGCAUGUGUGACCAUAUCAAGCCAUGAUUAGUGCUCGAUAAAAUGGAUUUGUUACAAAAACAACAUUUACAGAUCCCUCCGUUGGUGAUGUUCUCGAAUCUAUAUCACCUUUCAGGGACUUGGAUUUUCUGGCUAGCCACGGGUCAACUGUGAUGUUAUUCGACAUUCACACCCAUCUCGUGUGCUAUGAACUUACCGUGACCACUUGUUGGUAAACCUCUUUCUGUAUGUUUUACCCAAGAGGUUGCAUCUGAUUCUGUUUUGGUAAAAUCGCGUAAUUGCCGCUCGCUCAAUAGACUCAGAUAGUGCAAUGUCAUCAGAAAAAGCAAACUGCACACAUGGAACCUUAUGUGUUCCUCUGGCAGACAUUGUCUCUAUUGUUGGACAUCUCUAAAUUAGCCUAAGGCGAUACAUGUUAUGUCCACUAGAGAAACAACAUCCUGAGACACUCGCCUUUAUUUGGAAAUGUCUCAUGAUUAUCGCUGAUAUGGACAUGGGUUACAUGCUUCUCUACUCUUAGAAGUCUUUCGUUUCAAAUCUCGGGACGAGAUUCUUUUAAGGGGGGAGGGGUGUAACACCCUUGGUGUUUAUAUUCCGCUCGACAACGAGUAUGGAUUUAAGCACGUAAUAUCAGUGGAUAAAACAAAUGUUAAAUUUUAAUUAUUCUCUCUAUCGCGAUUUUAUAUCGCAUCUAUUUCGUCUGUCGCGAGUGCGACAUCGUUUUUUUUAUUUUUAUCUAUCCGGGCUCGUCCUAAAUUUUCGUGCUGUUCGGAACAUAGUUGUUCCAAAAAUCGGUGCGUCCGGUGAUUAUUUAAAAUUCAUCGCUCGCGUGAAUACGAAUUCGGAAGUCCGAUCCACUCGGAUGAUUUUACCUCGAACAGAUUAAGUAGAACUCGACGACUAAGUUUUCGAUGCAAAUAAUUAUGUCCCCACUCGUCAACUGAGAAGUCGCGUCCAAGGAAUUAUAAUUGAGAUCCGAUUCUCCGCGUAAAUUAUCUGUGGCCGUGGAAACGGGUGUCGAGACCACGGAUAAAAGUUUCCGGUUUUGAAUUAAAUCCAAUCUAGCGCAGUCUAAGAUAUCAAAGAUAAUGACGUGGUCUGGUACUAGUUUAAAUAAAGUUAAUCGAUUUAGACGAACUGGAAAGGUCAACUAAGUAUUUCGCUCUGUUCGAGCGAUCCCUACGAAUUUGGUAGAAACACUACUAGGGGCGGGCUAUUUAAAUAAACCAAACUCGAACUAACCAAAACCAGAACAAUGGUUAGCCGAUUCGCUUUCCUAUUUAAAAAUCCGAGAAAAUAAUCUAUUAUUCGAUAGCGCUUUAAAUUGGCGAUAGCGCUUUAAAUUGGCCCGUUUACUCCUUAUUUUAAAUCCAAAUCCCAAUAUUCAGAACAGAUGAGGUUUAUCUGUUUUAAACCAAAUUUGACAUAGUUUGAAUUAUCCAAGCCGAUCUUGUUUGGUUGGGUUCGUGUGUUCCUCGCCUAUAUCCAAAUCUUCAGAUAUAAAUAACAGAUAACUUUUAUCUGGGUUCAACUAAAUUAAUGGUGUCUCAAGUAGUAUAUUUGUUUUAGUCCGGUUCAUUUAUAUCUCACCCAAACUCUAAUUCUAGCACCAGUAUUUCUUAAGAAAGAAAGAAGAAAUAUCCUAUUUUUCUAAUAGCCCUCGACCUUGGAAAACUCUUGAAGACACGCUCAACCUUAUGUCCUUGCCCAGUUUCUGGACGCAUGCGAGGGACCAAAUUCUUUUCUUCUACGCAUGCCAGAGACCAAAUUCUUUUCUUCUACGCGAGCAUAAGCCUCUUCUUUGUAUUGUCCCGCCGCCCUCCAUCAGGAUAUUUUCUCAGGCCCUUGUCUGUAUAUAACGCUCAUCGGCCUGAUCCAUUUUCUGAAAAAAAUCUCAUUCUCUUUCUUAUCCAUCCAUCGCUCAGCAGGAGCUUAUUUCUUACACGUCUCCAGCGUUCACUCAGGCGUCUUAGCAUUCUUUUCUCUGCUCCUCUCGGCACUCGUCUCAGCACUUCUUCCUCAGGCCGCAACCCUUCUCUGCCAUUUGUGCUUGGCUCCCAGAAGCUGCCGAGCUAGACUCCUCGUCGUGCGCUGUUGUGCUGCUCCAUGUCCGACCGUUCGUCUCUAGCUCGCCAUGGCUGCUCCAGAUCCUGCUCGCGAGUUUCCCAGCGCCGUCAGCUUGCCGGCAUCCAGCUCGCCUGUAUCAUGGCCGUCGCGCCGUCUUUACUCGUUGGCCGUGCGUUGCCGCGCACACGCGCCCGACACCCCGGUUCCUCUGUACGCCUUGGUUGCGCGCGCCGAACUGCGUCCUUCGCAGCUCGCUGGCUUUAGCUGCAGGACACCACCAGCCGUGCCUUCGUAUCCUGUGUCCUCGACUCGUCCACAGUGUCACUCGCGAGGUGCUCGAGGUAAUGGCAGAAUUGAAAAUCGUAGCUGUGCUCAUGGCCUUCAAGACAUAUUAAGUUAUUGGUGAGUUGUCGUCGCUCUCGCUUUUCGUUUUAAUAUUUCUCGUCAGUUUGGUAUACUUGCGCUAUUAACGUGGGCCGGUGACGUGCGCGUAAAUCGCAGUAGUGAAUUAGUCCCAGAAUAAAAUUUGAUCGGAUAGAAUAAUGAAGUCUAGUACGUUGCUCGUCACAUAUUUGGUGUUAUGCGCGGACCGGAAAGCGUCGUCGAUUUCGUGGUUUCAAGUCGGAAUUAAUGAGGGUAAGUUGAUUCAUUAUUCCAGUCAACUAGGUAUAUAAAUAGAUUAAAUAUAAUUGUUGGUCGCGAUAAUUGUUAUUAAUUUAGCAUAUGUAUAUUGUGAUGUUCGAUUUAGAUAAAUCGGUAAAUCAAGUUAAUUAAGAUACACAGUUUAAAGAGUUAAUUAGAUUGUUUCUAUAAUUAUUUUAAGUUGUUGGCAUUUAAUAAUAGCGAGUCUAGGUUUUACUAGACCUCUGAAAUAUAUUUUACUAAAAAUGAUAAUGUGUGUUUAUAAUUUAAUCUUGCUUGAUAAUAAAAUUAGAUGUGAUUGAACAGAAGAAAUGUGCGUGAUGUAAUUAGUAUGUAUAGUUUAUUAUUUUGUGAUUAUUGCGCGUAGUCGUAUGUCGAUAACUAGUGUGUCCGUAUAAAAUUGUACAAUGCCUCGCCGCUAGGUGUUUAGUUCGCUAUCGCGUAGCACUAUUUAGGGUUUUUGAUAUUCCUGUUUAUAUGCAUUCAUGUGCAUCGUGUAUCUCAAUUAGGUACGAUAAUUGAUCGUGUGAUGCGGAAGACGAGCCAAGUCGACCCCAAGCGCGGACUACUCCGCAUGGAGAUGCUGAUAAACGAACCUACCUGAUCAAGUGCUAGGACAAGGAUGAUCGUCAAGUGGACGUCACCUAACAACACUAACGUAGUGUUUAUUCCAGGCAAGCCCCGGUGCAUGCAACCCCUUCCUUGUGUUUUUAAAUAAUUUUUGCACACUUUAAGUCUAGUGAAAUGUGCAUUAGGUUUAUAGGAGUUGCUUGGAAACCCUUUGAUGCAUUGCCUUCCUUGAAAUCCAUACCUUUAUAGAUACUUCUGGUGAAGUAUCAAAAUAUGAUUUACAAAAAUGCUUAGCCCUGCUCAGAUCUUGUGGAUAGAGGUUGUCUUUUGCGUUAAGGCCUUGCUCAGGGGUUAUCCUGAGGAAAGAUGGCUUCUACCUGCAAGAAUAUUUUCAUUGAGACCGUGGUGGGAUCUUACUGCAAAGUUCCCUAUAAUGCUCUUUUCAUCCUAGGGAGCACAAACACUCCUAAGGAUGGAAGUACUUAAAUCGGGACUUGGGCUAGGAACAGGUGAUGCUCCGCCCGGGUCAAUUAAGGAUUGGAUGUGUAUGUAGGCCUGAUAGAUCAAGGACUAUCUUAACUGGCCACAUGCCCUGGAAAUGGGACAGGGUAAGCUUGAACCCGGCUAUUCCAUACGUGAAAAGACAACCGCGCACUGGGCGUGGGAGAUGGUGGGAGUAGCGUGUGCCCUCCUGGCUAGAGGCUGGAUGGAGGAGUACUGUGCUCCCGGGUAGCGCGGACCGGUUCACGUUGUGGAGGAUCUGUGGGAACGGUUGACAUAUGCAAGGGUUAAGUGCUACAUAUGUCGUGUGGUUAGAGAUCCUCAGCUGAGUAAAUCGAUUCGGAUCGCCGUUAUAUCCCCGAAGAGUGGAGACUUGAUCACUGACCUGCAACCUAAGUCAGGAUGUGAACCUCAUGAAUAAAAAUGAUGUUGUAUUGAUGAGAUGAUGAAAUUAGACCAGAUGCAAAUAGAGUCUAUUAAUAUUUAAUCUGGCAUUAAAAUAUUGAAAGUAAGAACUCACUUUAGUAAGCUAUUUCUGCAAAAGUAUCUAAGUUGAUUCUUGCUAAAGCCUCUCCUUGAUUCCUAAAUCCAGCAUACCCUUGAGAGUCUUUUCUUUAGUCGGGUAAGUCUUGCUGAGUAAUUCCAUACUCAGGGUUUUAUUCCCUGUUGUUUUUCAGGUUCUAACUUUGUGCUGCUUUUGAUGGUGUUAAGUGCCGGUGGGCUCGACCUUCUUAUAUAAGUAUAACCCGUCUUUAUCUUCUUACUGAUGAUGGUCAUUUGAGCUAGCAUAUAUUUCAAACUUAUACUUUUGUAAUCACUCCGAUAAAAUAAUAUAAAAUUUUUGUAACUUGUAAAAUUUGGUAAUAAGAUUUCCGCUGCAAAAAUAUUGGUGUGUGUGAUUUGUGUUACUUAAUCUCGCGGUUCUGGUUGUAAGUGGUUUAUCCGGUGUCCUUGGGGCAAUCGGACGGAUCCUGUUAAGUUAUCUGGUGCACAUGCACGACCGUCUGAGGUCUUUGAGACAAGGACAGGUGCAUGUGGGCCCGAUAACUUGGAGGUUCUGCCACAUCGGUGAAGACAAAGGCUUCCACUCCGUAACUCAUCCUUCGCUGUCGCUCCGAGCAACUCUUCAUCUUUGGUAUAAUCUUCACUCACAUGUUAUUUACCAAAGGGUGCAAAAGUAGUUUAAAAAGGGCUCUAAUGAUUUCGUUUUUGGCGAUUUAUGCCAAAGGGGGAGAGAGCAUGAGCCCAAAGCAAAAGGACCGCACCACCACCAAUUUCAAAAAUUUUAGUCUUUCAAUUUGGUUUUAAAGAAGUAUUUUCAAAUUGGUAUUUUAUGUGUUAUAUAAUUUCAAAUUGGUAUACCCUCUUCAAAAUUAACAUCAAAACCCUCUUGAACACUAAGAGGAGGAUUUCAUUAAGGGGGAGUUUUGUUUAGUCAAAGUAAAAGCAUUUGAAACAGGGGGAGAAAAUUUCAAAUCUUGAAAAUGCUUCGCAAAAUCUUAUUCAUUUACCUUUGACUAUUUGCAAAAGGACCUUGAAAAGGAUUUACAAAAGAAUUUGCAAAAACAAAACAAGUGGUGCAAGCGUGGUCCAAAAUGUUAAAACUAAAGAAACAAUCCAUGUGUAUCUUAUAAGUAUUUAUAUUGGCUCAAUUCUAAGUAACCUUUGCACUUACAUUAUGCAAACUAGUUCAAUUAUGUGCUUCUAUACUUGCUUUGGUUUGUGUUGGCAUCAAUCACCAAAAAGGGGGAGAUUGAAAGGGAAUUAGGCUUACACCUAUUUUCCUAAUUGAUUUUGGUGGUUGAAUUGCCCAACACAAAUAAUUGGACUAACUAGUUUACUCUAGUCUAUAAGUUAUACAGGUGCCAAAGGUUCACAAAAAGCCAAUAAAAAGACAAAGAAAAGGGUUCAACAAAAAGAGCAAGGGACAACCGAAGUGUGCCCUGGUCUGGCGCACCGGACUGUCCGGUGUGCCACCGGAUAGUGUCCGGUGCACCAGGGAACUCCAAGCCCAACUCAACACCUUCGGGAAUUCUCAGAGGCGCUCCGCUAUAAUUCACCGGACUAUCCGGUGCACCACCGGACAGUGUCCGGUGCUCCAAGGAAGAGCGACUCUGAAGUCACCAGCUUCGGGAAUCCGCUCCGCUAUAAUUCACCAGACAUGUCUGGUGCACACCGGACUGUCCGGUGAGCCAGCGGUGCAACGGCUACUUCGCGCGCAACGGUCGACUGCAACGCAUUAAAUGCGUGCCUGCGCGCGCAGAGGACAGAGCACACGCGAGUGGCACACCGGACAGUCUACAGGACUUGUCCGGUGCGCCACCGGACAGCCAUGUGGGCCCAUAAGACAGAGCUCCAACGGUCGAAACCCAACGACCUGGUGACGUGGCUGGCGCACCGGACAGUGUCCGGUGGCGCACCGGACUGUCCGGUGCGCCAUGCGACAGCAGCCUCCACCAAACGGCUAGUUUGGUGGUUGGGGUUAUAAAUACCCCCAACCACCCCACAUUCAAGUCAUCCAAGUUUUCCACCUUCCAACUACUUACAAGAGCUCUUGCAUUCAAUUCUAGACACACCCAAGUGAUCAAAUCCUCUCCCAAUUCGACAAAAGCUUUAGUGUUAAGUGAGAGAGAUUUGUUGUGUUCUUUUGAGCUCUUGCGCUUGGAUUGCUUCUUUCUUUCACUCUUUCUUGCGAACAACUCAAUUGUAACCGAGGCAAGAGACACCAAUUGUGUGGUGGUCCUUGCGGGGAAGUUCGUUCCCGUUUGAUUGAGAAGAAGAAGCUCACUCGGUCCGAGGGACCGUUUGCGAGAGGGAAAGGGUUGAAAGAGACCCGGUCUCUGUGACCACCUCAACGGGGAGUAGGUUUGCGAGAACCGAACCUCGGUAAAACAAAUCCGCGUGUCACACUCUCUAUUCGCUUGCGAUUUGUUUUGCACCCUCUCUCUCGGACUCGAUUAUAUUUCUAACGCUAACCCGGCUUGUAGUUGUGAUUAAGUUUGUAAAUUUCAGAUUCGCCCUAUUCACCCCCCCCUCUAGGCGACUUUCACACACGCUGUCAGUUUGCUACUGGUCACCCCAACCGUUGCGCCCGUCUUUGCGGUAAACUGGUGUGUGGCCCCCCACGCAUGGCGGUUCGGUCGUGCCCCGCGCGCGUGGGGCGCCCUGUUGGCACCGCCCAUGUUGAGAAUACUUUUCAGCAGCGGCCCCAAGGCGGCAUGGGAGCGCACGGCGGUUUGUUCUUCCUGCGCAUGGAGACCAGCGCCCCAGCCAUGUGACUUGCAGGCUCGGG
rnacentral:lncRNA from 1 species